CGGUGAUUGUACGUGUGUGUGUGUGUGUGUGUGUGAUGUGUGAUGUUUGCCCUUGAAAUCUUUCAACAACACAGAUUGUUAUCAACGUAGUGCUACUUAAACAAACAGAUAACUUAAUAUCUAAGUUGAAUUGUGUUAAGAGUUUGUGUGUGUGCGCGCGCGAGCGUUCGUAUAAAGUAAUAGUCUCUCAUGUUUUUCGCCUUGAAUUUAUAGUAGUGUGUUGUGACACGUGGUGGUGGAUAUUUUGGAUGUAGUGUUUUGUUUUUCACAAUUAAGUCCGAAAUUUCUGAUCAGGAUUCUUCAAUUUUUAUACAGUAUAAGCAUAUAAUCACACCAUUAUGAUAUGUGAAUUUAACACCGAAACUUCGACCACAUUAAUGCCGGAAUGUACGUAACCCUGUAAAAAUGUUCUUUGCAGAUCUUCAGGUGAAUGACGAAGAAGUGGGUGACUUGUGCGUGAGUUACAAAUCUUUCAAAGAUUAAUUAUGCAGUUCAGUUGCUAUUGUCAGGGUUAGGGCAGAAGAAUGGAACUUGAAAAGUGGCGCAUAACAAUUUGAUCUAGAGGAAUCAAACCUAAUCUGACAACCCCGACAAGUCCUAACGAACUAUACCUGAGCACGAAAGUGUACCGUGUCAUAAAAAAGUGUCUCAGGCGAAGGUCAUCCUCCCUUUUCAUGUUAUUGCGGUGUAGUUUAGUCUCAUUGGCCUUCCUGAUCAUGUGGCCCAUAUAUCUGGACUUGGUGGAGAGGCGGUGGCUUUCUGGAGUUCAAUGCAGUGACAGAGGCCGGGUUGCCUACCUGCGGGCGAUGGUAUUAUCGUAGUCUGCAGAGGGCAGUCCUAUGGCGAAGCCUGCGACCCAGAUGAGAAUGAUCAUAACAAUGAUUUUCAUCGACAUCUUUGGUGUAUAGGACCACACAAUCGCCAGGUACCUGCAACAGGACUCGUUCUUCAGUGCCUUGAGCAUCUGCGGGUCCCA